UUUAUGUGUUAAUUUUUUUUACCAGAGCGAUUUAUUGCCGUGUAGAGAGCAUUGAAAAAGAUUAGUUGGGAAAGAGCAGCGAAGAAUCGGAAGAGUCUCAACCGCAAAUAAAUAGAUCUUACCGGGGCGAAAUAAGAGGGAAUUUUGAGGGCAUGAAUUAGCAUAAAUGAGGUGCAUCUCCGUCAACCAAACGCCACGAUCGCAACCCAUUGAAGUCAUUGAAGAAUUGAUGGGAGCCGCGCGCAAUGGAGGGCUCUAAAUUGAUGUCGACCACCAUAAAUGGGCGUCUUUGUGCGCCACAAUUACAUCAAAAUGAUUGCAUAAUUGGCCACAGACGAUCUCUCUCUCAUCCAGGGUACAACAUGAGAGACAAUAAAUCCAUCGAGUGCGCUUACAGGGCCUUAGCAACGAGUCAGCACAUCUCGGGCUUCCGUGGGUAAUAUUUUGGCGCCAUUGUCCCGUGGAAAUCUCAAUCAAGACCCUCAAAUGGAACUCUGUUGAUGAUUGGAUG